rnacentral:lncRNA from 1 species
CGAGAUUCAACAUGCUACAAAUUACAAGCAAAUGCAAUAACAGGCUAACAGCAGCAUGAAUGCAUCAUUGCAGCAUGCUGCAAAUUACAAGCAACAAAGUAACUAGCAACACAAGAACGGAUAAGUCAUAAAAAAGACACAUGUGCUACAUCUAUUCUUGGUCAGUUCAUUAUGACCAAAAGGAUGCCCUUUGGCUUAGCAGGAUUGCAUGACGGAGGAGCCGCGAAGGCGUCGGGCUUCUUGCUCUUCCUCGUGUCCUCUGGAUCUAGCGCUUGCAAAACGCAUGCCUUUGGCAGUUUGGCGUCGAUGUGGUUGGGGGUAGGGAGGCGGCGGGCAGUGCGGUGUGGUCGCAUGGACACAACAUCACGAUGGGGAGCACAUGUGUGAGUCGCGCCGUCAUUUUUGGCGGCUGGGGUGUGGGCACGGGAGGGAGAGGAUAAGAAUGAGCUAGGGUGGAUCAACCAAUAUAUAGCAGUGUUCAGAUGGGUUUGGGCCAAAUAUGUAGGCUACAUGGGCUAAAUUCAGUAGGAGAGGUGGUGAAUUCUUGCGGGUAUUUCUUACCCACGGGUACACGGGUAUGGUAAUAUACACCCAUGCGCGUACCCAAUGGGUGAAGAAUUUUGCCCAAUAUACCCGUGGGUAGAAAAGUUUAUCCAUACCCGCCUUUUUAGCGGGUAAAAGCCAUCAGAUACUCAGAUUUCGGGUACCCAUUGCCAUCUUGCCACCUUCAAUAGGAGGAAGUUGAGCGUGGGACUCUAAACAUAUGACACGCUACCUUCAAUACAACACAUGGCUCUCUGAAACUCUGCUAUGCCAGUGACUUUGAUUACAAGAUAACACUGACUUUUUUAGCUAGAGAACAGUUUUCAUUAGCUUUUGUCCUUUAUAAACAUUAG